rnacentral:rRNA from 1 species
GCCAGACUCCUACGGGAGGCAGCAGUGGGGAAUAUUGCACAAUGGGGGAAACCCUGAUGCAGCGACGCCGCGUGAAGGACGAAGUAUUUCGGUACGUAAACUUCUAUCAGCAGGGAAGAAAAUGACGGUACCUGACCAAGAAGCCCCGGCUAACUACGUGCCAGCAGCCGCGGUAAUACGUAGGGGGCAAGCGUUAUCCGGAUUUACUGGGUGUAAAGGGAGCGUAGACGGCCAUGCAAGUCUGAUGUGAAAACCCGGGGCUCAACCCCGGGACUGCAUUGGAAACUGUGCGGCUGGAGUGUCGGAGAGGCAAGUGGAAUUCCUAGUGUAGCGGUGAAAUGCGUAGAUAUUAGGAGGAACACCAGUGGCGAAGGCGGCGUGCUGGACGACGACUGACGUUGAGGCUCGAAAGCGUGGGGAGCAAACAGGAUUAGAUACCCGAGUAACA